AAGUCGUAACAAGGUUUCCGUAGGUGAACCUGCGGAAGGAUCAUUAAUGAAUUUAACGGUCUCUCUGAGACCAUCAUAUUCACAUUCACCUGUGCUCCCAUUUCCUUUGAGAGGGGGAAGUGGCUUGCUUUUUCCUUUGGAGAUUUAGAAUUGUCAAGCAAAAAAGCCCUAGAAUAAACCUGAUUUACACAGGCAAGUUCAAGGCAAUACAAAAAUUAAAACUAUGAACAACGGAUCUCUUGGCUCUU
rnacentral:misc_RNA from 1 species